CGGGCAUGUGGCGGAUGAUCUGGCGCUGGAGACCGAUGAAGGACGUAGCACGGCUGCGAUAAGCUCCGGGGAAUUGCCAAGCAAGUUACGAUCCGGAGAUUUCCGAAUGCGGAAACGCCUUCAGGGUUAUACCUGAAGACCUGCAACUGAAUACAUAGGUUGCAGGAGGGAACGGGGACAACUGAAACAUCUAAGUAGCCCCAGGAAGAGAAAGAGACAUCGACUCCCUCAGUAGCGGCGAGCGAACGGGGAUCAGCCCAAACCAUCAGGCUUGCUUGAUGGGGUUGUGGGACCUCUGAGAGUUACAAAAGGCAGGUUAGCAGAACCAUCUGGAAGGGUGGGCCAUAGCGGGUGAUAGCCCCUUAUGCGAAAACCGAGCCUCUCGUUGAGGAGGAAUCCCGAGUAGGGCCAGUCACGUGGAACCUGGCUCGAAUCAGGGCGGACCACCGCCCAAGGCUAAGUAUCUUCCAGCGACCGAUAGCGUAAGAGUAGCGCGAGCGAAUAUUGAAAAGUACCCCUGUCAGGGGAGUGAAAUAGUACCUGAAACCGCAUGCCUACAAGCAGUUGGAGCCCUAUGUUUACAUGGGUGACAGCGUGCCUUUUGCAUAAUGAUCCGGCGACUUAAUGUAUACAGCGUCAGGUUAAGGCCUUAUGGGCCGAAGCCGUAGGGAAACCGAGUGCGAAACGCGCGACAUAGUUGUAUGCAUUAGACCCGAAUGCAGAUGAUCUAACCAUGGCCAGGGUGAAGCGAAUGUAAAAAUUCGUGGAGGCCCGAACUUGUGUGGGUUGAAAACCGCUGAGAUGAGCUGUGGUUAGGGGUAAAAGGUCAGUCAAAUCUGCGGAUAGCUGGUUCUCUCCGAAAUAGCUUUCGGGCUAGCCUUGGAGUAUAACCGUCGCGGGGGUAGAGCUACUGUAGAGGAUAGGGGGGCUUCCCGUCUACCCUACCUCAACAAACUCCGAAUACCGUUGACGCUGCUCCGGGAGUCAGUCUUUGGGGGAUAAGCUCCAUAGACAAAAGGGAAACAACCCAGAUCGCCGGCUAAGGCCCCAGAUUCAUGCUAAGUGCCAAAGGAAGUGGGAUUGCACUGACAGCUGGGAUGUUGGCUUAGAAGCAGCCACCAUUUAAAAAGUGCGUAAUAGCUUACCAGUCGAGCCGUCCUGCGCCGAUAAUUACCGGGACUAAGCAUGAAGCCGAAGCCGCGGACUUACAGAUCAUGUGAUCUGUAAUUGGUAGGAGAGCGUAGCACAUUAGGUUGAAGCGGAACCGACGAGGAUCCGUCGACGACGUGCUAGUGAUUAUGCCGGAAUGAGUAGCGAUAAAACGGGUGAGAAGCCCGUUCGUCGUAAAUCUAAGGUUUCCUGGGCAAGGUAAUUCCUCCCAGGGUCAGUCGGUCCCUAAGGCGAGACCGAAAGGUGUAGUCGAUGGGUAACAGGUUAAUAUUCCUGUACCGGUUGUAAACGAUCAAGACUCAGAGGGGGGACGGAGGAGGCUAAGCAGGCCGGCGGAAGCCGGUGAAAGCGCGUAGGUAGAGGAGCCAGGUAAAUCCGGUUUCUCGUUUAACUGAAACGCGAGACGAGCCCUAGUUGGCGAAGCUGUUAUGCCCGACUCUAUAUAAAAUCCUCGCUGAGAGUUUGCAACCGACCGUACCGCAAACCGACACAGGUAGGUGGGAUGAGUAUUCUAAGACGCUCGGAAGAACUGCUGUUAAGGAACUCGGCAAAUUGACCCCGUAACUUCGGGAUAAGGGGAGCCCUCCUUGUGAGGGCCGCAGAGAAUUGGCUCAUACGACUGUUUAUCAAAAGCACAGGUCUGUGCAAAGUCAAAACGACGACGUAUACAGACUGACGCCUGCCCAAUGCUGGAAGGUUAAAGGGAGGGGUUAGCCGCAAGGCGAAGCUCCGAACCCAAGCCCCAGUGAAUGGCGGCCGUAACUAUGACGGUCCUAAGGUAGCGAAAUUCCUUGUCGGGUAAGUUCCGACCCGCACGAAUGGUGUAACGAGAUGAGCACUGUCUCAACAGCAGAUCCGGCGAAAUUGCAAUCGCGGUGAAGAUACCGCGUUCCCGCAGUAGGACGAAAAGACCCCGUGAACCUUUACUGUAGUAUAGUACUGGGCCCUAACUUUGCAUGUGUAGGAUAGGUGGGACGCUUUGAAGCCGAAGCGCUAGCUUUGGUGGAGCGGUCGGUGAAAUACCACUCUUGCACCGUUGGGGUUCUAACCUGGUGCCGUGAAUCCGGGCCAGGGACCGUGCUAUAUGGGCAGUUUGGCUGGGGCGGUCUCCUCCCAAAAAGUAACGGAGGAGUCCAAAGGCUCCCUCAACACGGUUGGCAAUCGUGUGUCGAGCGUAAGGGUAUAAGGGAGCUUGACUGCAAGACAUAUAGGUCGAGCAGAUGCGAAAGCAGGGCCUAGUGAUCCGGCGAUCCCGUGUGGAAGGGUCGUCGCUCAUCAGAUAAAAGGUACUCCGGGGAUAACAGGCUUAUCUCCCCCAAGAGUUCACAUCGACGGGGAGGUUUGGCACCUCGAUGUCGGCUCAUCACAUCCUGGGGCUGGAGCAGGUCCCAAGGGUUCGGCUGUUCGCCGAUUAAAGUGGUACGCGAGCUGG
rnacentral:rRNA from 1 species